AGGAGAGGAAGCACAAGGGCAAAGACUGAGACUCUUGUUCACUGGAAAAGUAUAUUUUUAAAAACCCUCAGAGAAGGCAGAAGCAACUUCAAAGUAGACUGCAAAAGCUCAGGCGUCCUGAGCUACAUGCCUUAAGCUGAAGGCUGUGCAGGUACAUGUCGCCAUAACUGCCUCAAACAAAAGAUGCAGCACUGCUGCUGGAGGGCUGGGAAGUGCUUGACCUUAUCUGCCCAAGUCUCAUUGCACCCUCCUUCUCAAGGGCCAGCAAGGAUUUACUGCUUCCCCUGAAGUAUGCAGGGGUCAUAGAAUCACAGAAUCCUUAAGGCUGAAAAAGACCUAAGAUCAUCAAGUCCAACCACUAACCUAAACCCAGUGUGUUCAGCACUAAACAAUGUCCCUAAGUGCCACAUCCACACAUUUUUAAAUGCUUCCAGGGGUGGUGAUUGCAUCACUUUCCUGGGCAGCCUGAGCAACCUUUCAGUGAACAAGAAGGGUCAGUGUACAACAGAGCAUCAAGCUGCAACAGGCAUUCUCCAGUGUGGCUGCAUCCUUUCUCCCUGUCCAAAAGUGCCCACUGAGGCUCUGUGACCACAGCUCUGAGAAGUGGCACUCAGAGACCUCAAGUCCUAUUGGCUGCUGAUGACAGUGACCCCAUGAAACAGCUUUCUCAAAUCAAGAUACGAUUUACUAGUAACAGAAGGUAGGCAGUGUAAUGCUUUCUAAAACUGACUCAAAAGAGGGUAUUUGUCUCUCCUAGCUUGGUCCCUUGCCAAUACAUGUUCCAGGAGCUGCUGAGAAGCUGAGAUUCCUGCAACCUUACAGGCAAGGUGUCUGAUCCUGGAACAAAACACCAUCACCACCAUGUGAUACAGCCUCAAGACCACAGCUUUCUAGAAAGAAAGGUCAAGUGAAACAGUUCUUCCUAAAGAGCUUGCCUGAAUGCAGAAACAGGAUCACACCAAGCAACGAGCAGCAGGACAAGCGCCUUAAAUCACACAUCACAGGUCCUGGAAAAGGCAAGGCCACCUGGCCACCAACAACAGCCAGACGUUGGACCAGGUCGACAGAAGCCCUCUAUCUCCAUUCCACUGAGGUGGAGGCAUGACCAGGUAGAAGAGAAGGCAGGAAGCAGUGAUCAGCUGGAAAACUACCAUGAACAAAAACCCAAGUACUACUACAAAAACAUGAAAACCCAGGGAAAAAAAAUUCUAAUAAAACACUGUAAUAUGUUACCUUUAUGUGAAUGACUCUUCAUGCUCGCCUAGACUGAGUCACCCUGGGAACUGCCUCGCGGGUCCAUCUGGCUGCCAACUCCUGGCUAAACUUGAACAUCCUGUGACUGAAAUGAAUGCAUCAAAGGCUAAGGCGCCGCAAGGUAACAAGGCUCUCUUUGUCCAGCACUUCCAGAUGCACCAGCAUUCCCCUUCUGCUAACUCUCACAUAUCCUCUGGGUCUGUGUUUGGUAUAUUUCUGACUUUUAGAGGCUGUAAAGAAAGGGUAGACUUGAACUUUGCCUCUCACCCUAAUUUCAUGGACAUCCUCAAUCCAUCUCUGGCCAUGUAUCAGUGACAGUAUA